AUAAAGAACUUGGGGUCCGCACGAACAAAAGUUUGCCACGACGAGCGUAAGAAUGUCGCCUGCGAUAUUUUCACUCAUUCUAAUGCUUGCGCUCACAGUCACGGCAGAAAAUGGCUCAACUGUGGACACUGGAAGUGGAACCCAACCAUGUGAACAAGUGCGUUGCAGUGGACCAGGUGAUAUGUGCGAACCACCAUGCCGAUGCUACCGACUCAACAAUGUCCAAUACAUGUGCUUGGCAUUCGAUUGAUGUUGCGAUAACAAGCAGCUAGCUCAAGAUGGCAUGACAUUUUUGCGCCGCAUUACUAAGGCAAUAAAAUGAUUACGAC